GACAGAGGUGCCAAGCGUUAGGCGGAAUCACUGGGCUUAAAGCGUGUGUAGGUGGAUUUGUAAGUACCUUGUGAAAUCCCAUGGCUCAACCAUGGAACUGCUCGGUAUACUGCGAAUCUUGAGCCACUUAGGGGCUACCGGAACAAAUGGUGGAGCGGUGAAAUGCGUAGAUAUCAUUUGGAACGCCAAUGGUGAAAACAGGUAGCUGGGAGUGUGCUGACACUGAGACACGAAAGCCAGGGGAGCGAACGGGG
rnacentral:rRNA from 1 species